GGUUCUCGUACGAUCACCGAAGUUAAGCAACGUCGAGCCUGGUAAGUACCAAGAUGGGCGACUGCUUGGGAAUACCAGGUGCUGUAA